rnacentral:piRNA from 1 species
UGCAUGGCAUGCCAAAGGCUGACAGAUG